UGAACGCUGGCGGCGUGCUUAACACAUGCAAGUCGCACGGGAAACCUUUUAUUGAAGCUUCGGCAGAUUUAGCUGGUUUCUAGUGGCGGACGGGUGAGUAACGCGUGGGUAACCUGCCCUAUACAGGGGGAUAACAACCAGAAAUGGUUGCUAAUACCGCAUAAGCGCACAGGGCCGCAUGGUCCGGUGUGAAAAACUCCGGUGGUAUAGGAUGGACCCGCGUUGGAUUAGCCAGUUGGCAGGGUAACGGCCUACCAAAGCGACGAUCCAUAGCCGGCCUGAGAGGGUGAACGGCCACAUUGGGACUGAGACACGGCCCAGACUCCUACGGGAGGCAGCAGAGGGGAAUAUUGCACAAUGGGGGAAACCCUGAUGCAGCGACGCCGCGUGAAGGAAGAAGUAUCUCGGUAUGUAAACUUCUAUCAGCAGGGAAGAUAGUGACGGUACCUGACUAAGAAGCCCCGGCUAACUACGUG
rnacentral:rRNA from 1 species